UUUGAUAAGCUGACAUGGGACAG
rnacentral:miRNA from 3 species